CNNUUNACUGANGNUUCUAGUCGCAUUUGGAUAAUGGGUUUAUAUACCCCAGUACACAUGGGGAGUGUGUGACACGGGCGAUAGGGGGUUUAAACCCCACGGUUCACAAGCUGAAGAUGAACUCGCGUCCGAUUAGCUAGGAGGUGGGGUAAGAACCUACCCUGGCGACGAUCGGUAGCUGGUCCGAAAAGAUGACCAACCUUUUGGGACUGAAAUCCGGAACAAACUUCUACGGGAGGGAUUAACGGGGAAUUUUCCCCAAUAGGUGAAAGACUGAGGAUCCCCUAGCGCCGGAAGUGGGGACGUUCCUGGGUUGAAAACCUUUUUUCCCCAGGAACAUCCCCCCUCCCGGUCCUUUGGAACCUCCAGCUGUUAACUCCUGGGCAAAAAUCCCCGUUAGUAGCUAGAAGAAAGAGUUGGGCCGGAUUGUUGGGCCUAAGGGGCCGGCAGUCGCUGGGACAGCUUCCGGUCANAACCAAGUUCGCUUUUGACCCGCCACGGAAAUAACCGGCCUCAAGUCCUUUUCGGGCAAAGAGAUUUUCGGUUUCAGGCAAACGGUUUAACACCGGAUCACUGGUGGCCAAAGCCGUUNNUUAGUCCACCCGGNNUUACCGNGAAANGGGUAAGANCCUGNNCCCCCGGGGGCAAUNCAAUGUUANNUGGGAUANUAUCUACNNCCCCGUGUCNGCUNNCUCUCUCCUNNNNCU
rnacentral:rRNA from 1 species